rnacentral:rRNA from 1 species
UGGAUGAUGUGGAUUAAUUCGAUGCAACGCGAGACCUUACUACCCUUGACAUGUCCGGAACUUGCCAGAGAUGGCUUGGUGCCCGAAAGGGAAUCGGAACACAGGUGCUGCAUGGCUGUCGUCAGCUCGUGUCGUGAGAUGUUGGGUUAAGUCCCGCAACGAGCGCAACCCUUAUCAUUAGUUGCCAUCAUUUGGUUGGGCACUCUAAUGAGACUGCCGGUGACAAACCGGAGGAAGGUGGGGAUGACGUCAAGUCCUCAUGGCCCUUAUGGGUAGGGCUUCACACGUCAUACAAUGGUCGGUACAGAGGGUUGCCAACCCGCGAGGGGGAGCUAAUCCCACAAAGCCGAUCGUAGUCCGGAUCGCAGUCUGCAACUCGACUGCGUGAAGUCGGAAUCGCUAGUAAUCGUGGAUCAGCAUGUCACGGUGAAUACGUUCCCGGGUCUU